rnacentral:rRNA from 1 species
AGAUAUGAUCCAGAGUACCACGGGACACGUGAAACCCUGUGGGAAGCAGGAGGGACCACCCUCCAAGGCUAAAUACUACCUAGUGACCGAUAGCGUAUAGUACCGUGAGGGAAAGGUGAAAAGAACCCCGGGAGGGGAGUGAAAUAGAACCUGAAACCCUGCACUUACAAGCUGUGGAAGCACAUUUCUUGUGUGACCGCGUACUUUUUGUAGAACGGGCCAACGAGUUACGUUAAGUAGCAAGGUUAAGCACUUAAGGUGCGGAGCCGUAGCGAAAGCGAGUUUUAACUGAGCGUUCAGUUACUUGACGUAGACCCGAAACCGGGCGACCUACCCAUGAGCAGGAUGAAGCGAAAGUAAAAUUUCGUGGAGGUCCGAACCCACGAGCGUUGAAAAGCUCGGGGAUGACUUGUGGGUAGCGGUGAAAUUCCAAUCGAGCCCGGAGAUAGCUGGUUCUCCCCGAAAUAGCUUUAGGGCUAGCCUCAAGGUGAGAGAUACGGAGGUAGAGCACUGAAUGUCCUAGGGGGUAUUGCACCUACCGAAGACUAUCAAACUCCGAAUGCCGUCAUCUUAUACUUGGGAGUCAGACUGUGGGUGAUAAGAUUCAUAGUCGAAAGGGCAACAGCCCAGAUCGUCAGCUAAGGUCCCUAAAUGUAAGUUAAGUGGUAAAGGAUGUGGGAUUGCACAGACAACCAGGAUGUUGGCUUAGAAGCAGCCACUCAUUCAAAGAGUGCGUAAUAGCUCACUGGUCGAGUGAUCCUGCGCCGAAGAUUUCCGGGGCUAAAACUUACUACCGAAGCUACGGCAUCAGUAAUGAUGGGUAGGGGAGCUUCCCAUACGGGUUGAAGCAUGACCGUAAGGACAUGUGGACAGUAUGGGAGUGAGAAUGUUGGCAUGAGUAGCGAGAUGUGGGUGAGAAUCCCACAGGCCGUAAACCCAAGGUUUCCAGGGGAAGGUUCGUCCGCCCUGGGUUAGUCGGGACCUAAGCUGAGGCCGAAAGGCGUAGGUGAUGGACAACAGGUUGAUAUUCCUGUACUACCGAUAACCGUUUGAGAGAUGGGAUGACACAGUAGGAUAAGCUAAGCACACUGUUGGUUAUGUGUGCCCAAGCAUUGAGGCAGUCAAAGUAGGCAAAUCCGCUUUGAUAAUGCUGGGAUGUGAUGGGGAGCGAAAUUUAGUAGCGAAGUAGCUGAUUUCACACUGUCAAGAAAAGUCUCUAUCGAGGUUAAAGGUACCCGUACCGCAAACCGACACAGGUGGGUGAGGAGAGUAUCCUAAGGCCAGCGAGAGAACUGUUGUUAAGGAACUCGGCAAAAUGACCCCGUAACUUAGGGAUAAGGGGUGCCACCAUCAGGUGGCCGCAGAGAAUAGGCCCAAGCGACUGUUUACCAAAAACAUAGGUUUCUGCUAAGUCGCAAGACGAUGUAUAGGAGCUGACGCCUGCCCGGUGCUGGAAGGUUAAGGGGAUCUGUUAGAGCAAUCGAAGCAGUGAACUUAAGCCCCAGUAAACGGCGGCCGUAACUAUAACGGUCCUAAGGUAGCGAAAUUCCUUGUCGGGUAAGUUCCGACCCGCACGAAAGGCGUAACGAUUUGGGCACUGUCUCAACAACAGACUCGGUGAAAUUGUAAUUCCGGUGAAGAUGCCGGAUACCUGCGACAGGACGGAAAGACCCCAUGGAGCUUUACUGUAGCUUGACAUUGGGUCUUGGUACUACAUGUACAGGAUAGGUGGGAGGCUUUGAAACCAGGACGCCAGUUUUGGCGGAGCCAUCCUUGGGAUACCACCCUUGUAGUACUGGGACUCUAACCAUAGGCCAUGAAUCUGGUCUUGGGACACUGUCAGGUGGGCAGUUUGACUGGGGCGGUCGCCUCCCAAAAGGUAACGGAGGCGCUCAAAGGUUCUCUCAGUACGGUCGGAAAUCGUACGUAGAGUGUAAAGGCAAAAGAGAGCUUGAUUGCAAGACAUACAGGUCGAGCAAGGAUGAA